UCCGCCCAGCUCCCCCGACCCCAGGCCGGGCGUGGCCAGGGAGGGUCCCGGACAAGCUCUCAGUACAUGUUCCACGGGACACGGAAGACCAGGCCCAGACGACAGGCUCUGGCCACCGCGGCUCCGCGGAGAUCAGCGCUGAGGAGCACCCCUGAGUGAGCUGGGGGGACCGACCUGGAGAGCCACGAGGCCAAUGUGACGCCAUCAGUCACCCUUCUGCUCCAGAAAAACAGGCUGCUCCGAUUCCCUGGCUCCCGCAGGGCCUCGGCGGUCACCGGGAGCGUGGGCUGCCACAGAGGAAUAAUCUCGGAGACCGUCCGCAGAUACCUGUGAGGAAUCCAUUGUGAUCAAAAAAAUCACCAUUAACAUCGGGACUGUGUGGUGCCUGGCCCAUAGCAGCUAGGAUACCAGACUUGUAAGCAAGAGAACAUUCAGAAGCUAGCCCUCAACCGGAUGGGAGCUCUGUCCAAAGCGCCACCAUGUUCUCAGCAGAGUCUGAAUCUACCACGAAGCUGCAGUCAAAGACCAUUGAGCCAGGCAUCUGAAAACCUUCAGCAGUGGAAGCAGUGACAGUGAUGUUAGCAGUAGGAGCAGGAGUACUCGUGACCCAACUUAACAACGGGAACAUCUGCCAUUAAAAUUUUAUGGGAAUUUGAACUUGAGGAAACAAUUUGAGGAACCCCACCCAAGGAGGGAGCCAUUUGUGCCUGCAUUGUAUUUAGAUGACAAGAUCUGGACUUUCCCAUCAGAUCCUCCUGAGUUUUGGGAGCAUUGCAAAAGGGUUUGGAUAUUUUUGCUUGUGGCAAGGAUGUGAACUAUUGUGCCCGGAGGGCAGCUGGGAUUUUUCAAAGACAGUCACAAUGGUAUCUCCAUCCCACAAACUGCACUGGGAACUCGCCACUCCCUCAUGAAGGGAUGAAGAUUAUUU